rnacentral:ncRNA from 1 species
UUUUGAUGUAGAGGUGCGAUUGUGAAAAGUCCUUGUCGUUGGGGUGAUGCCAAUGAACGACAACAAAAGGCUCAGUCGCCGAAGUGAGAAUUGUCCAUCAAACAUUCUUGCUGGGGUUGUAUCCGAAAGGAGCAACACUGCCAUAGUCUAUUAUUUGUUAAACUAUGGAGCGCUACUGUAGGG